rnacentral:lncRNA from 1 species
GGCUGAUCCAGAGACGUUUGCCAGAAACCGUGAGCUUGAGGUGAUCCACUGCCGUUGGGCCAUGCUUGGUGCUUUGGGCUGUGUCUUCCCUGAAAUCCUUUCCAAGAACGGUGUCAAAUUUGGUGAGGCUGUUUGGUUCAAAGCUGGAUCCCAAAUCUUCUCAGAAGGUGGACUUGACUACCUCGGCAACCCAAACCUUAUCCACGCCCAAAGCAUCCUCGCCAUUUGGGCCUGCCAAGUUGUUCUCAUGGGCUUUGUUGAAGGAUACAGGGUUGGUGGAGGCCCACUUGGUGAGGGUCUUGACAAGAUCUACCCAGGAGGUGCCUUUGACCCACUUGGUCUGGCUGAUGAUCCCGAGGCUUUUGCUGAAUUGAAGGUCAAGGAAAUCAAGAAUGGACGCUUGGCAAUGUUCUCCAUGUUUGGAUUCUUUGUUCAGGCCAUUGUUACUGGAAAGGGCCCAAUUGAGAACCUCUUUGACCACAUUAAUGACCCAGUCGCCAACAACGCUUGGGCUUACGCCACAAACUUUGUUCCCGGAAAGUGAAGUAAUUAGGGCUAUGUAAUCUGUAAACUUUGGGCUAAU